rnacentral:sRNA from 1 species
UAAUACGAUGGGUUGGUCUGCUGACGGC